AAUCAACACCUGGACUUCAUGCAUCCAUUAAAUCAGUUCGAUCAUCUACGCUGCACCCAUUUACAUCAGAAUCGGUACAUGAAGUUACGUCACAAGUUUCACACUCGGAUACUUCUAGCACACAUUCCAGCACUGAUGUAGGCACAUCCAAGGGUGUUUUGUGGUUUUUCAAAAAUGUGGAGGGAUGCUGGAACUCCUGCUGAUUCUUUCUGAGGUUCGGCCCGAAUGCACCGA